GGGUUAAUAAAUAAAAUAAAUCAUUGAAACAAAAUCAAGGGCUAAAAUACAAUGAGCACAAAUCAAAGAGGACUAAAAAACAAAUAAACCAAAUGCCAAAACGAAAUGUUUAACCGCGGACCAAUUUGAAACUGCGUGCAAAUUAUAGGGGAAAAUUAAAGAAAAAAAGAAAUCUGAACGGGACUCAAUCAAAUAGCACCAAAACAAGAAGGGACCAAACGCGAAAAUUCUCCAUUCAGAAGCAAAACGCGCGGAUCCCCCAUUGCGGGUCGGGUCAACACGCGAGUCUGCUCCCUCCCAAACGAUGCCGUUUUAGUUUGAUUACUUAACCCAAAAAAUCUACUCAAAGAAUACUUUUAACCCUUUUUUAAAAAAAAAAACCCUAAACUCUCUCUUCUCCCUCACUUUCCCCUUGCUUCUAGCCAAAAAAAAAAAGAGGCUAAUACCAAGCCUUCAAUCGCCCGCUGGAAACCAUCAAAGCAAGGCCCUCCAACGGUGUGAGUAUGAUGCGCGGUAAGCCUCUUCUCCUCUCUCUGAUCCGUUGCAGGUGUUGUGGGUCCAAAUGUAAAAAAGGAAAAAGAGGAAAAACAGAGCAAAAUUAUAGUAAAUAAUCACCUUUGAAAUAUUCUUGGUUGCUUUCUAUUGAUUUUUGUAUGUUUUUCGUGUACAAUUUCUCUCAAAAAAAAAGAAAAGACUUCCCUUUUACCAUUAAAAAUCGAAGGCUUUUAUAGCCAAAAUACAAGCAGUUUCUACUAUUUUUGCUCAUGUUGUAGGUCGUGAAGACAUGAAAGUGGAGCACACGAACGUGGGGUAGGCAACGCGUGAGACGGGGAUUGUGCGAGGGGCGUGCGUGGAGGCUGCUGGUGAAGGCCGCGGCAUGAAGCAAAAGGAGACCUAGGGUUUCUGAAACCCCCAAAGCUUUGGGCCUAUCGGGCCUUUAUAUUUUUAUUUUUUUGGGCCUAAAUCUGGACUGUUAUGUUUUUUAUUUUAUUGUUUUGUAUGUGUACGGGCCCGGACAAAAUUUAGACAUUACAGAUAUCAUGUGAUGCUGUUGUUUAUAUAGAAUCAGUCAUUGGUAUUAUAAGAUCAUUAUAUUCUCUAUUAUACAAAAUCUCUUUUAAUGUAAUUUGUCCUCAAUGCAGGUGGAAUUGACUUCAUCUUUCUAGCCUUAACUCUUUUUUUAAUGUAAAUUGUUUCUCAAUUUUAGUGGUACUAACUUCAUCCUUCUAGGACGGCUUUGGUUUUUUUUUUUUAAUGUAAUUUCAAAGAG
rnacentral:lncRNA from 1 species